rnacentral:rRNA from 1 species
AUUGAACGCUGGCGGCAGGCCUAACACAUGCAAGUCGAACGAGUGGCGGACGGGUGAGUAAUGUCUGGGAAACUGUCUGAUGGAGGGGGAUAACUAAUGGAAACGGUAGCUAAUACCGCAUACCAUCAGAUGUGCCCAGAUGGGAUUAGCUAGUUGGGGGGGUAACGGCUCACCAAGGCGACGCUCCCUAGCUGGGCUGAGAGGAGGACAGGCGACGCUGGAACUGAGCCACGGUCCAGACUCCUACGGGAGGCAGCAGUGGGGAAUAGUGCACAAUGGGCGCAAGCCUGAUGCAGCCAUGCCGCGUGUAUGAAGAAGGCCUUCGGGUUGUAAAGUACUUUCAGCUGGUAGGCGUUACUCGCAGAAGAAGCACCGGCUAACUCCGUGCCAGCAGCCGCGGUAAUAC